rnacentral:rRNA from 1 species
GUGCCAGCAGCCGCGGUAAUACGUGGGGUGCGAGCGUUAUCCGGAUUUACUGGGCGUAAAGAGUUCGUAGGCGUCUGGUAAAGUUUCGUUUGAAAGACCGAGGCUUAACCUCGGAAACGGACGAAAUACUUAUCAGAUCGAGUUAGUUAGGGGGUACUGGAACUGUCGGUGUAGCAGUGAAAUGCGUUGAUAUCGACAGGAACACCAAGGGCGAAGGCAGGUACCUGGGACUUAACUGACGCUGAGGAACGAAAGCUAGGGGAGCGAAAGGGAUUAGAUACCCUCGUAGUCC